rnacentral:rRNA from 1 species
GACGAACGCUGGCGGCGUGCUUAACACAUGCAAGUCGAACGGAAAGGCCCUGCUUUUGUGGGGUGCUCGAGUGGCGAAAGGGUGAGUAACACGUGAGUAACCUGCCCUUGACUUUGGGAUAACUUCAGGAAACUGGGGCUAAUACCGGAUAGGAGCUCCUGCUGCAUGGUGGGGGUUGGAAAGUUUCGGCUGUUGGGGAUGGACUCGCGCCUUAUCAGCUUGUUGGUGGGGUAGUGGCUUACCAAGGCUUUGACGGGUAGCCGGCCUGAGAGGGUGACCGGCCAAAUUGGGACUGAGAUACGGCCCAGACUACUACGGGAGGCAGCAGUGGGGAAUAUUGCACAAGGGGCGGAAGCCUGAUGCAGUAACGCAGCGUGGGGGAUGACGGCCUUCGGGUUGUAAACCGCUUUCGCCUGUGACGAAGCGUGAGUGACGGUAAUGGGUAAAGAAGCACCGGCUAACUACGUG